rnacentral:rRNA from 1 species
UACGUAGGUGGCGAGCGUUGUCCGGAUUUACUGGGCGUAAAGGGAGCGUAGGCGGACUUUUAAGUGAGAUGUGAAAUACCCGGGCUUAACUUGGGUGCUGCAUUUCAAACUGGAAGUCUAGAGUGCAGGAGAGAAGAAUGGAAUUCCUAGUGUAGCGGUGAAAUGCGUAGAGAUUAGGAAGAACACCAGUGGCGAAGGCGAUUCUCUGGACUGUAACUGACGCUGAGGCUCGAAAGCGUGGGGAACAAACAGGAUUAGAUACCCGGGUAGUCCCUGA